AACGAACGCUGGCGGCAUGCCUAACGCAUGCAAGUCGAACGAGAUCUUCGGGUCUAGUGGCGCACGGGUGCGUAACGCGUGGGAAUCUGCCCUUUGGUUCGGGAUAACAGUUGGAAACGACUGCUAAUACCGGAUGAUGACGAAAGUCCAAAGAUUUAUCGCCAGAGGAUGAGCCCGCGUAGGAUUAGCUAGUUGGUGUGGUAAAGGCGCACCAAGGCGACGAUCCUUAGCUGGUCUGAGAGGAUGAUCAGCCACACUGGGACUGAGACACGGCCCAGAGUCCUACGGGAGGCAGCAGUGGGGAAUAUUGGACAAUGGGCGAAAGCCUGAUCCAGCAAUGCCGCGUGAAUGAUGAAGGCCUUAGGGUUGUAAAGCUCUUUUACCCGGGAUGAUAAUGACAGUACCGGGAGAAUAAGCUCCGGCUAACUCCGUGCCAGCCGCCGCCGUAA
rnacentral:rRNA from 1 species